UGCCGGUAUUAAAAAUAUGAAUUUUUAUUUUUUAACAGAAAAAAGACUUUUAAUGUGGAGUAUUUUUUGCCAUUUUUAUAUUUGGCAUUUUGGCUUUAAACUACUUGAGACUAUACCCUGUAUUACAUUUAUUCAUUUGUUUCCAGGGUUCCUCAUCUUCACAGUGCUCAAAUCUACCUCCCUUCUAUAGAACAGCAAAUGAGGAGCCUGUCUGAAUCACACUUGGAUGUUAUCUUCUGUUUUCCUCCUAUGUAAAGCAAUUCUGUAUUCUCUGUACUGCUUGCUAACAGCUCCUCUCAUAAAUGCUCUUCUUUGUCCACAGACCUUGCAGGACCCUAUGGCCGGAGGAAGGGGAGAGAAUGUCACACCUGCCCUUGGAGUUGUUGCCAGCUGUGCUUCCUUGCCUGAGGCCUUAGCCCAUAGAACUUCGGAUAGAAAUGAAGGGCCUCCCUCCCACUCCACGGUCAGUUUACAGGGUGGCCAGGCUUGGGCUGGUUUUCCAAAUUGCCUUUGGAUACGCUGCCUCUUCUGUGCAAUCUGAUGGCAGGAGUAAGCCCUUCUCCCAAGAGCCCCCAGCUUGACACUCGUGUUGCACGAAGAUCACAGGGCUUCACCUCACUCCUCUUAAUGAAAUAACUCAGUUAGGCUUCAAGACUCCAUGGCCUGUCCUCAAUUGUUUUUGAUGAGAGAAAAAUUUUAGGGCAUUUAUAAGCAGUAUCCAAAGCAAAUCCUGUACACAGAAAAGGGAAAAUUGACUCGACACUGCGUUGUUGGCUCUCCUCCCUGACUGUUUAAGUAACAUAUGUUUAAAAUAAAAGCCUUUAAAAAUCUCUUC
rnacentral:lncRNA from 1 species